UACGUAGGUCCCGAGCGUUGUCCGGAUUUAUUGGGCGUAAAGCGAGCGCAGGUGGUUUAUUAAGUCUGGUGUAAAAGGCAGUGGCUCAACCAUUGUAUGCGUUGGAAACUGGUAGACUUGAGUGCAGGAGAGGAGAGUGGAAUUCCAUGUGUAGCGGUGAAAUGCGUAGAUAUAUGGAGGAACACCGCUGGCGAAAGCGGCUCUCUGGCCUGUAACUGACACUGAGGCUCGAAAGCGUGGGGAGCAAACAGG
rnacentral:rRNA from 1 species